UCUCCUGGAAACGGGUGGUAAUGCCGGAUGUUCCACAUGAUCGCAUGUGAUUGUGGGAAAGAUUCUAUCGGCGUGGGAUGGGGUCGCGUCCUAUCAGCUUGUUGGUGAGGUAACGGCUCACCAAGGCUUCGACGGGUAGCCGGCCUGAGAGGGCGACCGGCCACAUUGGGACUGAGAUACGGCCCAGACUCCUACGGGAGGCAGCAGUGGGGAAUAUUGCACAAUGGGCGCAAGCCUGAUGCAGCGACGCCGCGUGAGGGAUGGAGGCCUUCGGGUUGUAAACCUCUUUUGUUUGGGAGCAAGCCUUCGGGUGAGUGUACCUUUCGAAUAAGCGCCGGCUAACUACGUGCCAGCAGCCGCGGUAAUACGUAGGGCGCAAGCGUUAUCCGGAUUUAUUGGGCGUAAAGGGCUCGUAGGCGGCUCGUCGCGUCCGGUGUGAAAGUCCAUCGCUUAACGGUGGAUCUGCGCCGGGUACGGGCGGGCUGGAGUGCGGUAGGGGAGACUGGAAUUCCCGGUGUAACGGUGGAAUGUGUAGAUAUCGGAAAAAAACACCA
rnacentral:rRNA from 1 species